rnacentral:lncRNA from 1 species
UUUAAUAUCUCAUAUCGAGCAAUUUGACUUUGUUCCCUAUAUAACUCCUUAAGAUUAAGGAGAAUAGAGGGAACAUCUAUAUCCUCAUACUACCUCUGGAGCUCGUUGUUCAUGGAGGCAAGCAUGAUGCAUUUGAUAGUCACACUGUUAUCUUUUCACAUCUUAUAUGUGAUCCUAUCCUCUUUGAAAGCAUCUUCCUCAAG